AACGCGAAGAACCUUACCAAGGCUUGACAUUACCUGAAAACCGGCGGAGACGUCGGGUCCUUUUGGGCGGGUGACAGGUGGUGCAUGGCUGUCGUCAGCUCGUGUCGUGAGAUGUUGGGUUAAGUCCCGCAACGAGCGCAACCCUCGUUCCAUGUUGCCAGCACGUGAUGGUGGGGACUCAUGGGAGACUGCCGGGGUCAACUCGGAGGAAGGUGGGGAUGACGUCAAGUCAUCAUGCCCCUUAUGUCUUGGGCUGCAAACAUGCUACAAUGGCCGGUACAGAGGGCUGCGAUACCGUAAGGUGGAGCGAAUCCCUAAAAGCCGGUCUCAGUUCGGAUUGGGGUCUGCAACUCGACCCCAUGAAGUCGGAGUCGCUAGUAAUCGCAGAUCAGCAACGCUGCGGUGAAUACGUUCCCGGGCCUUGUACACACCGCACUACUA
rnacentral:rRNA from 1 species